UACGAAGGGGGCUAGCGUUGUUCGGAUUUACUGGGCGUAAAGCGCACGUAGGCGGAUCGUUAAGUUAGGGGUGAAAUCCUGGAGCUCAACUCCAGAACUGCCUCUAAUACUGGCGAUCUAGAGUCCGGAAGAGGUGAGUGGAACUCCUAGUGUAGAGGUGGAAUUCGUAGAUAUUAGGAAGAACACCAGUGGCGAAGGCGGCUCACUGGUCCGGUACUGACGCUGAGGUGCGAAAGCGUGGGGAGCAAACGGG
rnacentral:rRNA from 1 species